rnacentral:rRNA from 1 species
GAACGCUGGCGGCGUGCCUAACACAUGCAAGUCGAGCGAGGAGAUUCCUCGGGAUGAUCCUAGCGGCGGACGGGUGAGUAACACGUGGGCAACCUGCCUCAUAGAGAGGAAUAGCCUUCCGAAAGGGAGAUUAAUGCCUCAUAACAUUGCAGUUUCGCAUGGAACAGCAAUUAAAGGAGUAAUCCGCUAUGAGAUGGGCCCGCGGCGCAUUAGCUAGUUGGUGAGGUAACGGCUCACCAAGGCGACGAUGCGUAGCCGACCUGAGAGGGUGAUCGGCCACAUUGGGACUGAGACACGGCCCAGACUCCUACGGGAGGCAGCAGUGGGGAAUAUUGCACAAUGGGGGAAACCCUGAUGCAGCCAACGCCGCGUGAGUGAUGACGGCCUUCGGGUUGUAAAGCUCUGUCUUCAGGGACGAUAAUGACGGUACCUGAGGAGGAAGCCACAGCUAACUACGUGCCAGCAGCCGC